GCCCACGGGCUCCCGGGAAGGGGAGGCGCUCCCCCGGCUCCGGUGACACCGUCACCACGGCAACGCGGCCAUACUGGCCCCAACGGACCCGGGGCCUGGGCUGCGGCGGCGCGGCUUCGUGGGCAGAGCCGGCAGCAUGGACAGCCUCUUCGUGGAGGAGGUGGCCGCCUCCCUGGUCCGGGAGUUCCUCAGCAGAAAGGGCUUAAAGAAAACAUGUGUGACCAUGGACCAGGAACGCCCACGCUCUGACCUCAGCAUAAACAGCAGAAAUGAUCUCCGCAAGGUUUUGCAUCUUGAAUUUCUCUACAAGGAGAACAAGGCAAAGGAAAAUCCUCUAAAAACAAACCUUGAACUCAUUACCAGAUAUUUUCUGGAUCACUUUGGAAAUACUACUAACAAUUUCACUCAAGAAACACCAAUCCCUGCACUCUCAAUUCCAAAGAAAAAUAACAAAGUACCAUCAAGAUGCUCAGAGACCACGCUGGUAAAUAUAUAUGACCUUGCAGAUGAAGAUGCAGGAUGGAGAACAUCAUUGUCUGAAACAAGCAAAGCCAGGCAUGACAAUCUUGAUGGGGAUUUACUUGGUAACUUCGUAUCAUCCAAAAGGCCCCCCUACAAAAGUAAGCCCACCCAAGCUAUCCCAGGUGAAAGCCCCGCCGUGGCCCCUGCGUGGGAGAAGAUGGACAAGCUUCAGUCGUCAGAGCUUUCCUUGGACACAAAGAGGAUGGGCAAGAAGAUGAGGCCAAAGUCUGGCCUGAUUGUCCGAGGCAUGAUUACUGGGCCCAUGGCCAGUUCCCCGCAGGAUUCCCUCCGCAAACGCUCCCUGAGGCGGUCCCCGGCCUUGAGCAGCACGACCCAGGCCCCCGAGGAAGAGAGCUGGAAAGUGCCUGGGCUCUCCACCCGUGCCCCAGCCUGUCCCACGGCCCAGGAGGGCCUGGCUUCCGGCACUGGCUCCCCUUCCAGGAGCCCCCUGGGCCUGCUCAGUGAGCUGACCUCAGAAAAGCGGAGAACCACGCCCGGCAGCCCCCCUCACUUGUCCGGCAAAGGGCUGCAGCAGAGGGCGAGCAGCAGGUGGCGAGAUCUCGCAGAGGAUAGCCCGGCUGUGGAUGGCGGCCCCGAGGCCAACGGGUCGCCCUUGAAGUUCUCCUUGCCAGGUGGGACUUCCAGGCCGGCCCAGGAGAGGUUGGAAAGGACGUUCAAGAGGCAGGGGAGCCAGCCCCUGCCCCUCAGGAAAAAUCAGUUGCCAGUGCCCAACAAGGCUGAUGGCGAGCUGGGUGUCCUGCAGCUUGAGGAUGUGGAGGAUGAAUUGAUAAAGGAUGAAGUCAUCCUGUCUCCAGGUCCAUCGAUGCUCAAGCUGCAAAUAGUGUCAAAGCCAAUUGACCUCUCAGUGGCCAAGGACAUAAAGGCCCUUCUGUUCGGCUCCAGCUUUUGCUGUUUCAAUGAGGAAUGGAAGCUUCAGAGUUUUUCCUUUAAUGACAAAGCCUCGUUAAAAUACGGCAUUGUGCAGAACAAGGGGGGUCCCUGUGGGGUUCUGGCAGCUGUCCAAGGCUGUGUCCUACAAAAACUCCUGUUUGAAGGAGAUAGCGAAGCUGACUGCGUUCGGCAGCUGCAGCCUUCCAAUGCCCGCAGGACCCACUGCCUCGCUCUGGCCAUCGCAGACAUCGUGUGGCGGGCCGGGGGCCAUGAGAGAGCCGUGGUCACACUGGCUUCAGGAACACAGCAGUUCAGUCCAACAGGGAAAUACAAAGCAGAUGGAGUCUUAGAAACAGUACGGCUUUCUGGAAAAUUAUCACGCAACCUUUGGCUUUGUUUGGGGACGGUCUCCUUUCAUAUAACUCACACUGCACAGUUUGACCUGCUACGAGGAGCUGGUGACUUUUCUUCAAGAAAGCAUCCAUCAGUUCGAAGCGGGUCCCUACGGAUGCAUCCUGCUCACGCUGUCUGCCAUCCUGUCCAGGUCCACAGAGCUUGUCCGCCAGGACUUCGAUGUCCCCACCAGCCACCUGAUUGGAGCGCAUGGAUACUGCACCCAGGAACUUGUCAAUCUGCUCCUGACCGGGAAAGCCGUGUCCAAUGUUUUCAAUGACGUGGUGGAGCUGGAUUCUGGGAACGGGAACAUCACGCUGCUCAAAGGCAUAGCUGCACGCAGUGAUGUUGGGUUCUUAUCUCUCUUUGAGCACUACAAUGUGUGCCAGGUGGGCUGCUUCCUGAAGACGCCGAGGUUCCCCAUCUGGGUGGUGUGCAGUGAGAGCCACUUCAGCGUCCUCUUCAGCCUGCAGCCAGAGCUCCUGCGAGACUGGAGGGCCGAGAGGCUCUUUGACCUGUAUUACUAUGACGGCCUGGCCAACCAGCAGGAGCAGAUCCGGCUGACCGUUGACACCACCCAGACCAUCCCUGAGGACAGAGACAACGACCUCGUCCCGCCCCUUGAGCUCUGCAUCAGAACCAGGUGGAAGGGGGCAGCGGUGAACUGGAACGGCUCAGACCCCAUCCUGUGACCCUUCCUGUGGGUAAGCCUAUGGCUCUACCACUCAUCGCUGGGGGGUGACAGCUGAGCCCCAGGCCUCAGGAACAAGUCUCUCAGAAGAGUGUCACCCCCAUCUGGGCCAACAGUGCUGCAGAAGCGUCCAGAACCUCCCUGCCCCUUCCAUGAAGGGCCCCUAGGACUGUGAUGAGGGCCCAGAGUGCUGCUAUACAGCUCCCUCCCAGCUGAGCCAUGACUGCCAAGGAUUGGACCGCCUCUGUGCUUUUUGUCUGCAUCCCUCCCUUGCUCCCUGCUGGGCCACCUCUCCCCUCUUCAAGCCUGUGAUAUGGUUAGCCUGGGCACCCUGGGCUCGUUAUUUCUGGUAUUUGGCUUUCUAUAAAGCAGGAGUCAAACCCAUGCAGAGGACGGAGAGACUCAUUUCUUCUGUUGUGGCAAAGGAAGCAUGAGGUCUGCGUGGUUCAUGGCUGGGGUGGGAACAGUGAUGGUGGAGAGCCCUGGAGACCUGUGAGCUAAGACAUCACCUAAUGAGAGUCUCUGCAGGCAGGCUUUGCCCUCUGGUCUGGUAGUGUCCCUGGCGGGGCUUCUGGUCUAGCCUGAUCCUGUCUGGAUCAGCCCCAGGUCUAAGGCACCAGGCUCUGUAAGGCAACUCAGGCCACCUGGGAGCCUGUCUCAGGGCAGACCUGGAUCCCUGCGAGGCCCCAGGAGGAUGGUCAUGUGGACCUGGCCAAGUGCAUAUGGGGGAAGAACCUUCUAGGGAGGGACCUCUUGGCCACAGAGGGCAAUAAGAUGAGAAUGAGCAGAGGGAUAGUCCCCCCCCCCGCCCCCCAGUGGCUGCAGUAAGGCACUUGUGAAGAGAACUGCCUGAAAUGUGAGUGGGCAGAGCCUGGGGACGCCCUCAUGUUCCAGAGCAAGGGGCGGGGGGCAUAGGUACAAAUGGGAAGAAUAAUCACUCAUAAAGGGAAAUUUGUACAGUUGCAGCAUCCUUGAUUCCAUGGGGUUACAUCCUACUGGUUUUAAAAAGGAAUAUGAAGUUAGGGACUGUGCUCUGCAAUGGCUCCCAACAGUGGGAUGAGCAAGGGCACCCGGAGGCGGAGCACUGGCCUCGGGGAGCCCCCAUCAUGAGCCCGUCCAUGUGAGGAGCCGGGAGCAGCAUGGCAGCAGAGCGCUCAGCAGCGUGGCCCCGUGCCGGCCCCUGCUGCGCCCAGCGAGCGCUUGGGCUGGAGCUCUGAGCUCCGAGCUCCGCAGCGGGCCCCGUAGAGGUGGGUGUUUGCACGAAAGGACUGGGGUGUGAGCUCCUCCCAUGUCUGCCCUGGCCCAGGGAGAGGCCCAGGAGAGUUGUAGACGCUGGCUGGCGGCUGGUCCCAAGCCUCUGUGUGCCCUUCCGGUGCUCAGGACGCAAGCAGCUCAGGGACCGUGUUCCCUCUGCAGCCCUGGCUAAAAGGACAUCCCUUCUCUUUAUGUGCCAGGCAUUUGGUGGUGACAACUCAACGGCCUGUUUUGCAUUCUCGUGGGCCGGGCACGAGUCGUGGCUGGAUUAUUGUGGGUCUUUAGGGAGGAGCCGGGAGGGAAGUGAGAGGGCAGGGCGUGCUUUGUCCAAGCUGUGUGGAGGCCCCCCUGGGGUUUGCUGUGUAAACUCCAGUGGCCAUUCACAGCAGGCGUCCAGCAGAAAUGCUUCCUAUAUGUCCCUGAAAUGUUUAUGCAUUUGUUUUCCUUGGCCAGAGACAGGCCGCUCCAGCUGAGCACCGGGGGGAGGAAGUCAGUUUCCCUGUAGCAGGCUUGUUUAUCAGCCUGGGAAGGAAAAGUGUGUCUUUUCAAUGAAACUCACUUAACCUCCUGACCAGGGUCCUGUUGGCAGGGCUGGAGAAAUAAAAAUAUUCCCAGCUUUGCUUGAAAAACCCAGUUCCAACAAAUUAUGGAAAUGCUUUUCUAGAAGCCAAGAUGCGGGUACAUGCAGUUUGACACCCGGUGCCUGGGGCUUCCUGGGACGCAAGAUGAGCAAAGCCGUAGCACCACCCUCUCCCAGGUCCGGAAGUGAGAGUGGACCCACAGUACGGCCACCAGGUCUGCAAGAAUGAAAUAGAAGCCCAUGCCUCCUUGCAGGCGGCUGUUCUCCACCCGAGGCACAGGGUUUUCUAGGGAGACUGUCGGUAGGUUCAGCGGGUCCAGAGUCUCCCGCCCAAAUUAUAUUCAAAUCUUUGUGUUCAUGUACGUAUGUGUAAUUUUCCAGGGAGAGGGUCUACUUGACUUGGACCAGUACCCUCCUGAAUUCCCCAGAAAAAGUUAAGAGUCCUAGAGCUGAGUGGCUUCCCCAGGACCGACCUGGGCAUGUCCACCCCAUCUGUGCUCAAAUGUGGGCUGGGUUAGUGAACAAGCCGAUCUCAGGGAGGUGCGAAUUCUUGGUCUCUGGAGGAAAGAGCCAGUGGAUCCUGCUGCUCUUCCAGCAGUUAAGAGCAGUCUCAAGGCCACUCAAGCCCGUACUCUGCCAUUAGUGGAAACAUGCCCCUCCCCCUGCUCCUAGGCGGGCGUCCAGUCACUAGGGACCUCUCCCGAGUCGGAUGAUUCCUGCUCUAUCCCCUGCUGAUGGCGGCUCCCAGUACCUGCUCCCACCCAGCUUCUGGUGGUGCAGUCAGCCUCCUCCUUCCCCUUUUAAGAAGACCCGAGUCUUCCUUCUGCAGGAUCCACAUUUGAGCCAUGCAAAGCACCCACACAUCUUUGCCUUCCCAGUUCUGGAGGUCACACCUUUCCCCCCUCAGCCUGCCUGUCUGCUUAGCCACCCGUUGGGAACAGCAAUGUCUCCUGUUCUCAGGUGGGAGUCAGGGACCAGCCCACACUGCGGGUGCACAUGGCAAGCUUUUAAACAGCUUUCUGGAAGCCUCCCUCACUUGGCUUUAGGAGAGGAGAUGCAGACCUCCGGGCCCCAUGGCUGGGGGAAGGGAUCCCAGCACACUGACGCCUCUCUCAAAGAAUUCCUCAGUAGCUACUGGCCUCUUCCACUGCGAGC